GUUUGCUGCUGUGCGAUUGCCAUUUGCAAAGUGGGGAAUCAUUCUUUAAUUACAUGAACAAAUCAAUGCCUCGUACAGUCUUCUUAUAAUGCCAUGAUGAACAGCCACCCAAAGAAAGUCUCUUUCCUACGCACUCACAGCACACACACUUCUCCCCUUUUAACCACAAAAGAAAAGAAAUAGCAAAGAUGAACACUGCAAAAACACAAAUACCCUCCAAAAAUCAAGAUUCCGGCCAAGACCCACCAAAGCUCGUGACUUCCACCGAAGAGAAAACCAAGAACGAAAACGAAGCCAACCCAGAAGAAGACACAAUCAGAGAAUCCAAAAGGAGAAAAAUCUGCCCAACAGCACUGGAGAAAAUCGAACAAGUCUCAUCAUCAAAUCAAAAUUUUUCCUUCACUUUCGACACCAAAUUAAAUGGAACUGCUACCCAAUUCACCCCCAAAUUCGGAUCUUUCAAUCUGGAGAACAUGGCGUCGACCCAAGAGAAGGAAAAUGGGUGUCUCGGGAGCAUUUUAAAGGACCAAGAGAUUGAGUGAUUAAUUUCUAGAAUUUUGCUGUGGAUCUUUCUUCUAUGUAUUGUUUGAUUAGUGGAUGGAAUUAAUCUAAUAUUUAUCUUAUUUAAGCGAUCAAUCAAG
rnacentral:misc_RNA from 1 species